rnacentral:rRNA from 1 species
AACGAACGCUGGCGGCAUGCCUAACACAUGCAAGUCGAACGAGACCUUCGGGUCUAGUGGCGCACGGGUGCGUAGCGCGUGGGAACCUGCCCUUAGGUUCGGAAUAACUCCCCGAAAGGGGUGCUAAUACCGGAUAAUUUCUUCGGACCAAAGAUUUAUCGCCUUUGGAUGGGCCCGCGUUGGAUUAGCUAGUUGGUAGGGUAAAAGCCUACCAAGGCGACGAUCCAUAGCUGGUCUGAGAGGAUGAUCAGCCACACUGGGACUGAGACACGGCCCAGACUACUACGGGAGGCAGCAGUGGGGAAUAUUGGACAAUGGGCGAAAGCCUGAUCCAGCAAUGCCGCGUGAGUGAUGAAGGCCUUAGGGUUGUAAAGCUCUUUUACCCGGGAUGAUAAUGACAGUACCGGGAGAAUAAGCGCCGGCUAACUCCGUG